rnacentral:lncRNA from 13 species
GCUGCAUCUGGAAAAUAACACAAUAUCUUUCAACACUUUCAAGGUUCUAAGUGAUACACGAAUAACCAUAUUAUUCAUAUGUCUGUUGGGUUGGAAUUCAAUCGGUUGAAGCACAUUGCUAACCCCGAGAACGAUGCAAAGAACUUGGGAACCACCCAUCCACCAGGAAAAUCAUCUUGUUCUUGGAGUUUAUUCACAAGGUUAGAUAGAGAACAGCAUGUGUGGAUCUAUUUUUAUCAUGCAGAAUUGUAGCUAAGAAUUUAACCUGGGAAGCUGAUUCAAUAAUACAGACAUGGGUGAUUUAUGUCCCAGGGGACUAAACUGUGCAAGAAAAGAUGAAAUUACAUUUUUAGAGAACGGUUUGUCAGAAGAACACCACUCUGCUCACUCAGAGGCCCCGUCCAAGUGAACAGACAUUGGUUCUGUAAUGCUAUGCUAGGCUAUCGAUAAACUUACACAAACGCUUGGAUUGCUUUCGCUGUAAAGCAUAAUUUCAAAAUCUGAGACGACAGGUGGAUUAACAAAAGGCUAAACUGUGUUUUCCCCCCAAAUGUGCUCUGCCUGGGUCAGGGCCUUGGACAGUUACAUUGCACAGACACAGAUAACAUGACAGUCUGAUUGGCUAUUAAUUUGCUAUGGUGAGAGAGUUCUGGGCUGAGCCUAUCGAUACAACAACACUAUUACUACAGCAUAUCGUCUGGCCAGCCAACCUCUGCGUCUGCUGUAGUGGAAAGUCUACAUGAUGGAGUAGCUACAUCGUGGGCACUGCUCCGAAGAGUUCCCUUCAAUUACAUUUACGCCUCGGCCAGUUGGGCAUUAUCUAGCACCUUUUUCUAGGUACUAUCAAAUCAUUGUUACCCCCAACUGCCCUGAGCUCAGUCCUAUGGGGCUUUGCCCCCUGUCUGGCCCUUACCUAGUUCACCAAUGAAUCUGGGAUUGUGAUACCAUAUUGGAGUGAUCCAAUGUAGUUCUACAUAACGAAGAACUACAUUGGAUCACUCCAAUAUGUAUGUAAUCACGGUUAUGUGAGCUAUUGGAUCAUUCCAAUCCUCUUUGUCGGUGAUCUACGCCGCCUCGAAAAGGACACGAGGUGGAAGUAGUGUGGCGGCAGCUAUUUAAGGGGGUCAGCUGCAGCACUACCCAGUACACAGGACUAAUCUGAAAUUCUUACUUGGAAUGUAUCCUGCCGUGCAGAAUGAUACCAUAUUGGAGUGAUCUAUCAGCUCACAUCACCGUGGUUACAUACUUAACCUUUGAUUGUUAUGGUUUUCUUUACCUCAUCCUCUCUUGCUCAU